rnacentral:rRNA from 1 species
GACGAACGCUGGCGGCGUGCUUAACACAUGCAAGUCGAACGGUGAAGCGCCUUCCUUUUUGGUGGGUGUGGAUGAGUGGCGAACGGGUGAGUAACACGUGAGUAACCUGCCCCCUUCUUCUGGAUAACCGCAUGAAAGUGUGGCUAAUACGGGAUAUUCUGGGUCUGUCGCAUGAUGGGUCUGGGAAAGAUAUUGUUUCGGUGGGGGAUGGGCUCGCGGCCUAUCAGCUUGUUGGUGGGGUGAUGGCCUACCAAGGCGGUGACGGGUAGCCGGCCUGAGAGGGUGGACGGUCACACUGGGACUGAGACACGGCCCAGACUCCUACGGGAGGCAGCAGUGGGGAAUAUUGCACAAUGGGCGCAAGCCUGAUGCAGCGACGCCGCGUGAGGGAUGGAGGCCUUCGGGUUGUGAACCUCUUUCGCCAGUGAAGCAGGCCUGCCUCGUUUGUGGGUGGAUUGACGGUAGCUGGAGAAGAAGCGCCGGCUAACUACGUG